rnacentral:rRNA from 1 species
UACGAAGGGAGCUAGCGUUGUUCGGAAUUACUGGGCGUAAAGGGCGCGUAGGCGGCCGCGUAAGUCAGAUGUGAAAGCCCCGGGCUUAACCCUGGGAACUGCAUUUGAUACUGCGUGGCUAGAGGAUGAGAGAGGAAAGUGGAAUUACGAGUGUAGAGGUGAAAUUCGUAGAUAUUCGUAAGAACACCAGUGGCGAAGGCGGCUUUCUGGCUCAUUACUGACGCUAAGGCGCGAAAGCGUGGGGAGCAAACAGGG